rnacentral:misc_RNA from 1 species
AACUUAUGUAUGUAGCUGGUUGGUUGGUUGGUCGGUCAUUUUGCGGCAUUCGAGUGCGACCCGACCGGUUGUAAUGCAAGCGGCGGCUUUACUUACUUACUUGCCUCUGUACUCGCUAACUCAAAAGUGCCUUUUGCUUGAUUUAAGCCGGACUGGUUGGCUGGUUGUUUACUGGCUUUGUUAUUGAAGUCAGUCUCAGUCGAUUUUGAAACUCGUGCGCGUCGCGAUAGUGUUGUAUGCGCAAACGGAACGAAAUGUCUAUCAACAACGCAAAAAAUAUACGCCUAUGCUUACUACUUGAUUGAAUGACUUCUUCAAUUGCAAUUUUCUUAAGUGUUAAGUUGAGUGUUCUAAAAGUUUGCCAAAAUGUGAGAACGUUAAAUAACUGUUUAAAUAUUCUUAUGUACUUACAUUGAAAUCUGCAGUUUGGUUUCCAUAAAUGGUCUCCUUUGAUCCAAGUAUUGCUAGGAAGCCUCGCGACCGGUCCCUUGGCUGAGUGCAAUUUACGUCAUUUGCUUCUAAGGCCGGUCCUAGUCAGAGCUUCACAGUGGCACAUAAUUGUCCCCUUAAAAUACACGAACAUUGGUAAUUUUUGUUGAAACUUGGCAAGAGCCCAAUUCUUCCUUAAUUGUGAGUUUCUUCAAAAUAAUGUCUCGAAAAACAUGGUGACAACAAUAAAAAUAACUUGCGAUGGCGUAUUCAUUCAAUCCAAUUCGUAUCUCACGCCCACCGAGUCCGGCAACAAUGUUGCACAUCGCUCAACAUACGUAGCUAACGGCACUCAACAUUCGCCGAACUCAGCAACAUCGUUGGCAACAUCUACGACAACCGCAACAUCGUUCGCCAUUUGCAGCGACGAUCCAAGCAACUCUGACGGCAGUGUCAACGAAUUCGAGCAUUCACUACGUCAACGUUUAAGGCAUUUGAAUUCUCCCAAAGUCGCGCUUAUCUCGGCUACAAUUAGCAGUUGCAGCAAUAGCAAUAACAACGACAGCAACCACAACAGCAGAGAUACCAACAACGGUAAAGCGCACGCUACAUUUAACUCCUUCUCCUCCACCACAUCACCUUCGUCCUCGUCGCACUCGUCAUUCAACUCGCACGCCUCAAAUGCGUCUCAGCGUCAGCGCCGUCGCCGCAGUAAUUCCUCAAGCCACCGUGAUUCACUUAAAUUUGCUGCUGCCUCAGCAAAUGCGCACGCACCUCAAGGCAAACCGACAGCGGUGGAUACGCCUCGGCGCUACUACUACAAUGGUGCUGGCGGUGGCGGCGUAGGCGGCGUAGGCAGCAGCAACAACAUUUAUUGGUGCAAGCAAGCCAUCAUUGGUAGCAGCCGCAAUGGCAAGGCCAGUGGCGGCGGAUAUGGACAUAGCAGCGGUGCCGCACUAAAGCGUCGUGCCCACACGGUUGAACGUAUGCCGUUGACACGCAGCGCCAGCAGCGUCACUACUCAUAAAGAAUUUAGGAAUGCGAGCGCCGCGACAACAGCGGCUGCAACCACAGGUCUUGCGAAAGUGGUGGCAGUACGGCGCGGAAGCAACGAACAACAUGGCGCGGAGAUUAGCAACGACAGCGGCGAUACAUCGCUGAAGCUGGUAGCGGCGGCUGCAUCUAAUGGUUAUGGCACGCGCAGCUUGCAAGAAGAUUUUUAUUACUCCGAUGACAAAUCGGUGUGGAACAAUAGAAAAAACCAAAGUCAAAGCGAGGCGAAUGUUAGUGGCGGCAGUGCAAUAAAAGCCGUAAUAAAAAGUAUUAACAACAAAAACAGUCACAGCAAUUGCAACAAUAAAACUGCUGGAAGUAGUAGAGCCCCCUCACCGGCAGCGCCAGCGGGAAGCAACAGCAAUUCGCAAAACAAUUCGAAUGCAUUAAAUACAAAUAAUGCAAACCCGAAUACGCGCGCGAGUGUAAAAUGUGUGUCAAAACCCGCGCCCGCGUCAUCGCCGAGCGUAUCUUCCGCUGAUACGACGCGCCUAUUUAAUUUCCUACGUGCCGCGCGUAAAUUUUAUCGCAGUGCCGCGGUUGGGAGUAGUCAAGACUCGAAUUUGCGCACACACGCAGAUGAAGUAGAUGGUGUUGUUGCACAGCGGCGGCAGCAGCCCUCCUCCGAGCCGACAAAACGUCGUUCGUCGUUGGCAGCCAUCAAUGAUCGAUUGACGAUUGCGGAAUACGACAAGUCAUCAGCGUCAGAUGAUUUAAGCCAAAUAACGGUGACACUAAGUAAUGAUUGGUUUGAUGAGGAAUCGUUAAUUUCGAAAGAGAAUAAACAGCCAGCAAAUGACUUGAAAUGUCCACAGUCGAAAAGGGGACAAAGAGAACACAAACAGCUACAACAACUGCCUGAUAGUGGCGUAAACCACACCAGCACAACAGCAAAAACAACAGCAGCAGCUUUAAUCUCCCUCCGUAGCACAAGCGAAACAACUGCGACUGCCACAACCGCCGCAACAUCAACAAACAAUAAAACACCAAUUGCAACUCUAACAACACCAACGACCAAAGUAACCUCAACAACUCAGCAAAAGCCAAACGCACCUCAAACCGAACAGCUGCAGCAACUGAGUGGCCGCAAUAGCAAGAGCAGCCACAGCCACAGCCACAAAAGCAACAAUAGCAAACGUAUUGUUGCUACACCGCACGUUCGCUGCAUCAAUUCUCACAACGGUCCCGUAAUCAGCGCAGUCACAACUGCAUCACACACUUUAAAAACAAGUGCUACUGGCGCCGCGCGUGGACAAUCGGCUGUUUCAAACACCGCUGCGGGCACACCUACACCGAGUCCACUAGCGAGUGGUAUAGCGUCAACGACGUCAACGGCUGCCACGCCGGCGUCGUCGUCGUCGUCGUCGUCCGCAUCUUCAAUCUCGCCGAAAGCGAGCUGCAAUAAAGUUAUGAGCAGUCACGCCACAGCGACUCAGCAUAGCGGACAAACAACAGUGGUCGGUCAUCAUCGCGGCUUCUCGCAACCAUCCGUGACAGUGGCGGCCAAUUCAGCAGGCGAUCCAUGGUUCUUACAAUCCACCGGGCAUCAAAUGCCGCCCACAGCGCCUUUACGACACAAUAAACGUCCCGCGCCGCAACCGAAUCACGGCGGUGUGGGCGGCGGCUUAGGCGGCGGCAUUGGCAUCGGCGUAGGUGGUGGCGGCGGAGGCGCGAGUGGCGUCGGUAUAGCGAAUGCUGGCAGCGUAGGCGUCAGUUUGUUGCAUCAGCAGCAACUAAGCCAAUCGCAGCCGCAUAUUGUACCGCCAAAUAUACCGCCACACCAUCACAAUAACGUGAACCAACACCACAAUCCAAUCCACUUGUCCUCGCAUGCACUUAAUAGUCAUAAUUUAAUAUCAGUUGCAACCGGCGCCAAUCAUUCACCAAAAUCACCCAAUCAGCAACAACAACAGCAGCAACAGCAUCAUCAUCAGCAGCAACAGCAGCAGACAUCGCAAUUAACUGGCUCAGCGGCACAGCCACAUACACAUACACACACACACAUCUUAUCCACCUUUGCGCCACCAUCCGCUGUCAGUGGUGGCAAUUGCGCGCCCGCCACGGGCGGUGUGACAGCCGCUGCAGUGGCUGCCGUAACGCAACAGCAACAACAACAGCAUUUGCAGCUUCUAGCCAAUGCUUCCAGCAAUAGCAACAACAAUCUUAUGUCGUCUUCAUUGAAUGCGGCACAACAUAGCGCCGCACUAUCGUUGCACGAACGCGGUCUACCGCCGAAAAGUGGCGCCAUUGUUGCUGGCCUAGGCGGCGCACUACACGGCAGCAACAUGCUGUUACACCAAGCGCAAGCGCCCUCAUCGCUAUCGAGCAGUCAACAGCAAACGCAAUCGGCGAUAUCGCUCAACACUGCUGGUGGCAGUGGCGGUGUUGGUGUUGGUGGCAGCUCAGGCAUAGGUGCGACUAGCAUGUCUACAUCAUUGCAUAGUUUCGAUUUAAAUGGUGGUGGCGGUGUAGCGGCCAAUGCCUGGUCGAGUAAUUCCAAUGCAGCAGCCGCAUCGUUGCACUCACCCACCAACGCUAUGGCUGGCGGCGUUAAUCAACACCAUAUUCAGCCGCAACGGAAGUGCGAAGUGAAGCUGAACGCAAUGCCUUGGUUUCAUGGCAGCAUAACACGCGACGAAGCCGAACACCUGUUGCAGCCUCGCGAGGAUGGCCUAUUUUUAGUACGCGAAUCGACUAACUUCCCAGGCGACUAUACACUAUGCGUCUGCUUCCAAGGCAAAGUGGAACACUACCGUGUCAAGUACUUGGAAAACAAGCUAACCAUCGACGAUGAGGAGUACUUUGAAAACCUGGGGCAAUUGGUUGCGCAUUAUGAAGCAGAUGCCGAUGGUCUGUGCACGCAAUUGAUAAAAUGUUUACCGAAAAAGGGCAGGCAAGAAUUCUGCAUCAACUCUAAGGACUUCCUGGACAAGGGCUGGGUUAUACCAGAGGCUGAUUUGCAGCUGCGUGAAAGCAUCGGAAAGGGUGAAUUCGGCGAUGUGAUGCUGGGUAUAUUGCGCAGUGAAAAAGUCGCCGUUAAGAUGCUAAAGGAUGAGGGCGCUGUGCAAAAAUUCUUGGCGGAAGCAUCCGUCAUGACCACUUUAGAGCAUGAAAACUUGGUAAAGUUUAUAGGCUUGGUCUUCACCAGCAAACACAUCUACUUAGUGACGGAGUAUAUGAGCAAAGGUUCGCUGGUCGAUUAUCUGCGUUCGCGUGGACGGCAACACAUUACGAAAAAGGAUCAAAUCAAUUUUGCCUACGACACCGCCUCCGGCAUGGAAUAUUUGGAAGCUAAAAAAGUUGUACAUCGCGAUUUGGCCGCGCGUAACGUACUAAUAUCCGAAGAAUGUGUCGCCAAAGUGUCUGAUUUCGGUUUAGCGCGCGAAGAAUGCUACAAUUUGGAUGUCGGAAAAUUGCCAAUCAAAUGGACUGCACCUGAAGCGCUCAAGAAUGGUCGUUUUUCCAACAAAUCUGAUAUGUGGAGUUUCGGAAUUUUGUUAUGGGAAAUUUAUUCAUUUGGUCGAGUUCCUUAUCCCCGCAUACCCCUCAACGACGUGGUGAAACACGUUGAAGUCGGCUAUAAAAUGGAAGCACCCGAAGGCUGUCCACCCGAAAUAUAUGAAAUGAUGCGCCAAGCGUGGGACUUGAAUCCCGCCAAGCGACCAACGUUUGCCGAACUUAAAGUUAAGUUGUUACAUCUGAAAAACACCACACCAGCGUGAGAGCGCAAAUGCGUCGUACUACGCGCAUAGAAUGUGACAUUCAGCAGGCAAACAUUAAACAUUUGAAAACAAUCCAAUCCAAUCGAAGUGAAAUAAUGCAAAGAAAAAAAUUUAAAGAAAGUAAAAAAGAAGUGGUAAGCAGAAUAUUGUAAAAUGUGGAAUUUACACUUUUUUUUAACUAUAUGUAUUUGUUUUUAUUUAUGCUAUGUUUUUUUGUCAAUAGUCUGUUGGCAAUAUAUUUAAGUUAAAAAUUUUAAAAGCCUGGCGCCGGCAUUAAACUAUGAUUAAAAAAAAAAACGCAAGCAAACCAACUGCACUAAAUUGUGCAGCGUGCGUCUGCGCCUUAACUAAACGCAAGCAGCUAGCUGACAGGUUAAAUGUGAAAUAAGAAAAAAAUAUAUUAAUAAAAAAAAAAAAAUACUAUGCUACAUAAUUAUAAAUUAUUUAGUUCUCGUAAUUAUUUAUAUGCGUAUGUUUGUUUUUAGUUUAUAAUUGGUACAUUGUACGACACAUACUAUUUACUAGAAUGUAUGUAUGUUAGUACUACUAAAAAAAAAAUGACUAUUUACCACUACUGCUGCGACAAUUGUAUGUAUGUUAAGUUUACUUACCUAUUUACUUUAUUUAUACAGGAACACAAUCACACAAACACUUGUACACAUAGAAUUUUUUGUUUAUAACCUUUUCUAUGUAUAUUACACAAUAAAACUUGGACACGUACAAACGUAUGUAAUAAAAUAA